rnacentral:rRNA from 1 species
UAAUACGUAGGUGGCAAGCGUUGUCCGGAAUUAUUGGGCGUAAAGAGCGCGUAGGCGGGAAGGGAAGUCUAUCUUAAAAGUGCGGGGCUCAGCCUCGUGAGGGGGUAGAAACUCCUUUUCUUGAGUGCCGGAGAGGAAAGCGGAAUUCCCAGUGUAGCGGUGAAAUGCGUAGAUAUUGGGAGGAACACCAGUGGCGAAGGCGGCUUUCUGGACGGUGUCUGACGCUGAGGCGCGAAAGCCAGGGGAGCGAACGGG